ensembl:lncRNA
CUUGGCGGGCGGGGGAGGGGAGCGCGGGGCUGCACGGCGGCGGGGCAGCGCCACCUGUCGAGGGCGGAGGUGGUGAGCGCGGUUGGAACGAGAGCUGGCCGCCGGCGGUUUUGAUGCCGGAGCGUGUUGUUGGCGCGGCACCGCUGCACAGGGAUCUCAGUGGCGUGGUGAACCCUCACGAGUGCCUUGAGGGAGCCGUGGGAUAGAAGGGCGAAGGCCUGAGCAUCCAAGGAGUUCAUUCUCAUAGCAAUGUUUGGCCUGCAGGCUGAUGAGCAGGAGGUAAGGUGGAGGACACCACCACCAGUAUUCUGUUUAAAAGAAUGCUCUUUUCCACUUAAAUCUGUAUGCACUGGAAUGAAGGAGAGAUCUCAGUUCUGCUCUAGAGUUGUGUUACACAGGGACCUAAGUUUUGCUCAGCUGUAUUAUCUGACUUCAGCUUGGUCUUGACAGAGCCUUUCCCUUUCCAAUGUGAAAGUGUUCAGGCAGCUUGUACAUGAUCAUCCUAAAUGAUUGUCAUCAUCAUCGUGAUCCAUUUAUAACAGAAACAUGGAAUCUAUGUAUCCAUAGCUCAACACGCAGAACUUGCUUAAGGUUGUUUUUCAGGUGCUAAAUUCAUCCUUUCAACUUACGUAGUCACAGAGAAGUAUGAUCUUCUGUGGUUGGAAUUUCUGCAGGCUGCCUGAGCUCCGUAUGAGGUCAUUUAUUUUGCACUGAUGAAUCCCUUAUUUCUCUACGUGAUUGUUUUACACAUGAGCCAGCAGGAAGAGUUCAUCACCUGAGUUGCUUCACUCCUGUAUUCAUCAAAUUCUUUUUGUCAUCACGUAAAGGCACUUGCACAAGAUCUCUGAGUACCCAACAGUACUGAAAAACAGUCCUAUGCUAUGUCUGUACAAACUGAAAGUUUUUACUAGCUACAACAAAAAAAGUGUUACUAGUUUUCACUUUUCCAACCUGAGGAUAGGAAGCAGAGCUCUACUAAGUGGCAACACUAUGCAUCAUUUUGUGGAAUUAUUUUUACAUUUGUGAAAGUUUUAAUAUAAACUGCUGCUCAUGUGGCAGUAAUUUUUCAUUUUGCUCCUAGGGUUUUAUUUCAUUAUUUCCAGGACAGAUAAAUUAAGUUUGCCCUAGGAGGAUCUUAGAAUAACCUUCCCAAAUGUUUUCACCGGUUCAUAUUUUGCAGUUUUCUAUUUGAACAGGAGCUUUAUAUAUGUUACAAUAGCACUCAUAUACCAGUUGGAAAACACAUCAAAUGGGUCCCCAAUCAGAUUGGGUGCUCCUCAGAUCACUUUCACUGCUCUGCAGCACCAAGUCAGUCCCAGAGACUGAUUCGUCUUCCACAAACAAGGUAGACUUCAUAUUUUACAAAAUUAAGGAUGCAAUUAUACUUCAUCUCUAUGUCCAGUGCAUGAAGGUAAUGUGUUUCAGUUUGUACUUUAAAAUACUUAAAUACUUUAAAUUGAAGCACUAUUAUGAUGUUUGAAAGCCAUGUUGUGUGCUUUACACACCAGGGUAGUAAAGAUGACAUUCUGAGGUCCCAUUUCUAUUAAUCAGUACCUAAAUCACAAAAGCUGUUAAAUUCCAGGCCAAAAACAGGGAAGUUUGCAUUCACUUGCCAAGGAUGCCAAAGCUGUCGUCAGACACAUCCUCAUACAUUGCAAGUAUAA